rnacentral:rRNA from 1 species
CCGCCAGACUCCUACGGGAGGCAGCAGUGGGGAGUAUUGCACAAUGGGGGAAACCCUGAUGCAGCGACGCCGCGUGAGCGAUGAAGUCUUUCGGUAUGUAAAGCUCUAUCAGCAGGGAAGAAAAUGACGGUACCUGACUAAGAAGCCCUGGCUAACUACGUGCCAGCAGCCGCGGUAAUACGUAGGGGGCGAGCGUUGUCCGGAAUUACUGGGCGUAAAGAGAGCGUAGGCGGCACUACAGGUCUCAUGUGAAAUACCCGGGCUUAACUUGGGGGUUGCAUGGGAAACUGUAGAGCUUGAGUACAGGAGAGGCAAGCGGAAUUCCUAGUGUAGCGGUGAAAUGCAUAGAUAUUAGGGGGAACACCAGUGGCGAAGGCGGCUUGCUGGACUGAAACUGACGCUGAGGCUCGAAAGCGUGGGGAGCAAACAGGAUUAGAUACCCCGGUAAAU